rnacentral:lncRNA from 1 species
UUUUUUGUGCCAAGAAGAUUUUCUCAACUGGGAUUUCCAUUCCUAGAUCUCCACGAGCAAUCAUGAACGAGUCAGUCUCACGUAAAAUUUCAUCGAAAUUGACCACUCCUUCUUGGUUCUCAACCUACACAUCAACUGUAUUCUCUUGGCAUGAGGGCCAAGAACCUUGCGUACAUUAACAAGAUCCGAGCCUUUUCGAACAAACGAAAGCGCAAUCAUAUCAAUGUUGUUAGGGACACCCCAUCCAAGGAUAUCUUCUAUGUCCUUUUCUGUGAGUGUUGGAAGAUCAACUAUGACACCUGGAAGAUUCACGUUUUUCCGCUCGCCUAGCAUGGCUGUAUUCUCACAGCGACAACGGACUGUCCCAGCCGCCUGAUCACAUGAAACGACCGUUAGAGUUAUGGUCCCGUCAGAACACAGGAUGGUGUUGCCGGGCUU